UCGAGCGAAAGAGAAGUGCUUGCACUUUCAAGUUAGCGGCGGACGGGUGAGUAACACGUAAGGAACCUACCGAUAAGCGGGGGACAACAUCCGGAAACGGGUGCUAAUACCGCAUAGGAAGUUUGUUCGCAUGAACAAACUUAGAAAGAUGGCUCUGCUAUCACUUAUCGAUGGCCUUGCGGUGCAUUAACUAGUUGGCGAGGUAACGGCUCACCAAGGUGAUGAUGCAUAGCCGACCUGAGAGGGUAAUCGGCCACAUUGGGACUGAGACACGGCCCAAACUCCUACGGGAGGCAGCAGUAGGGAAUCUUCCGCAAUGGACGCAAGUCUGACGGAGCAACGCCGCGUGAGUGAAGAAGGUUUUCGGAUCGUAAAACUCUGUUGUAAGAGAAGAACAAAUUGUAGAGUAACUGCUACAGUCUUGACGGUAUCUUACCAGAAAGCCACGGCUAACUACGUGCCAGCAGCCGCGGUAAUACGUAGGUGGCAAGCGUUCUCCGGAUUUAUUGGGCGUAAAGGGGGCGCAGGCUGCUUCUUAAGUCUGAUGUGAAAGCCCACGGCUUAACCGUGGAAGUGCAUUGGAAACUGGGAAGCUUGAGUACAGAAGAGGAAAGUGGAACUCCAUGUGUAGCGGUGGAAUGCGUAGAUAUGUGGAAGAACACCAGUGGCGAAAGCGACUUUCUGGUCUGUCACUGACGCUGAGGCCCGAAAGCGUGGGUAGCAAACAGGAUUAGAUACCCUGGUAGUCCACGCCGUAAACGAUGAGCGCUAGGUGUUGGAGGGUUUCCACCCUUCAGUGCCGCAGCUAACGCAUUAAGCGCUCCGCCUGGGGAGUACGACCGCA
rnacentral:rRNA from 1 species